rnacentral:lncRNA from 1 species
CUGAAUUUGUUUGUAAGAAAUAAAAUUUUCUGCAAAAAAGAAGAUGGCAAAAGUCGCAGGACUCGUUCUCCCAGUGCUUAUCAUCAGCUUUGUAGUUCUUGGCACUUGCAGCCACUUUACUUUGAAAGCAAUGGCAAGUGAAGAUAAAGAUGAUUCAGCUUCUUUCACAGUUGCUUCUUUACCCGCGGCCGAUGAAGUGGCGGAUGCAGGACGGAGACUCCUCCAUAACCACCCCGACCCACGUUGCGAUUGCAGUUGUAAAAAUAAACCAGAUUGUUUUGCUGAUGAUCCUUACUGUCAAGAGCAAUGUGGUGGUCGGUAAGCCCGAAUCACCCAAAACAGGGAAAAGUGCGAAUAUAUCCUCCAUGCUUGUCAUGUCAAGUUGCAUUGGAAUUUCAAUCUUCUUGUCAGUUUCCUUUCUGUUGUUUUCGCUUUGUUGACUUCUGGUGUGUGUUUUAUCCGUCCAUCUCUCUCCGUUUCCUUCAGGAAUGGAUCAAUAAAUUUGUUGUAAACUCCAUGGUUUAAAUGCCUCAUCUUUUGUUUUGGAAU